AAGGAAUGGCACAAAACCCAGAUGGUCUCCUCUGGGAACGUAGAAGACAUAGCCUUCAUCUGAAUCCUAGAAAGCAGAUUGCUUCUCUUUAUACAAGCAAAGGAUACGCAAGGAUAAACUGAGAAACUGGUCCCCUGUCUAAAGUGCUCUAGCCUCACUAUAAAGGCAGGUUAAGUGUACUUAAGCUUUAUGAUUAAAAGCAGCUUAGCAGCUACUGUAAUUCAGAAGUGUCAUUAAAUCAUUUCAAACCUGAAAAAGGACUAAGGUCAAUUUAGAAUUAAAAAGUGUUGAAAGUGAUAAGACAUUUUCUCUGAGGUGCCCAGCUGAGAUCCAGCACAGCUAGCUUUUGCAGCUGAGGAAGGCACUGCAGUACAAUGCAUAUACAUCUUCAAACCAGCAUGCUACUCAUAGUAAAAAGUUACACCAUUUGGAGUUGUGUUAUAGCCAUACUCUAAUAAAUGCUUUUGUGAGCAGUUAUAGGAGGCUGAAACAAACUAUACUCUGUGUAGAAUAACUAAAAACAGGUAUUAGAAUCCUCCUUGGAAAUCACUUGCAGCCCAUCUUUUCCAUAUUUAAUUUUAUUUUUGAAACCUCUAAAAUGAAUAAUAUGAAAUAUUCUACAGAAUUAGUGACAAACUGCCAGAAGAGAGAGGUUUCAUAUGCAAUCCAAAGCAAAGGAAAUGUUUUAUCAAGAAGUAUAUCUACAUUUCUAAUGUUGAACGUUCCAGUGUAAUUCCUAGAAGUACUGUAGUGCAGUUUGGAUGAUUGUCUGGCAGACUGGAAAGAAAAAGUUACAGUGUGAUUAUCAGCUUAAGCUAACUAAUGCUGCUGUCAGAAGUGAUGUUCCCUCCACUCAAGGCCACAUGUUCUUCCCUGGUCUGGCAGACUGCUGAUUUGGUUGUACUGCUAGACAUUUCUGCUUGCUGAUCUGACUGAAAGCUAUACUGAUAGUAAAGGAGUUAUUAGCUGUAGGCACAUGCCAGAGAUGCCUCUGCUGCUUAAUGAGCUUCUCAGUCCUAGUGAAGACCUGAGCUCCUCCAGAGGAUAAUGCAGACUACACCUAAGCUCUAAGCUAGGAGCUUUUCUUUACCUUCACUUUAGGAAACAUAACAUUAGACUUUGUGAAUUAUCCCUCAAACAGCCAACUGUGAAUGUUAAUAUUUGGAUUUUGAAUAUAGUGUUUGCAAGUGACUAAAUGAGGUGGCUAGAUGUUAAAAAGCAGAAAGAGCUGUUUCAAGAUAAAGUUACCUUGUGCUGAUGUCAUUUGAUCCUUGGUAGUUGUUUCAGUUUUCCAUUGAAGGUAAAUAGGCAAGUUGUUUGCUCUUCUCAUGCAGCGAAUCUCUGAUUCCGUUCAUGAAGAAGGAUAAUUCUUUACCUAUGGAGUAAUAAGUGAUAGAAAUAGCAGGUCACUGAGUAUCAAAACUCAAAAGGGCCUGAAUGGCUUUUAGAGAAAUAAUAGAGUAAAUAUAGGUAAAUAUAGGCUGGCAUUUAGGGUACAUGAAAUAUGUUUGGGGUUUUUUUUUGUUUGUUUUUUGUUUUUUUUUCCAAUUCAUAAGUUUUAUACAAUCCUUUUCAGCCUAUUUUCAGUAGAUAUCAUUAUUUGGUAUUUUUGAGGAGCAUUUUUUUUUCUUUUUUUCUUUUUAUACUCUAAAGUUCACACUAAACUUUUUCUUUCUUUUUUUUAUCUUUCAGUAGGCUUUCAGAAUGCCAAACUUAAAGUUGCCGUGAUAUUUUUAAGAUUAGUUUUCUAUUCUUAGUAUGUAAAACUUUAUUCUUGUAUUUCCUUAAAUAUAAAUAAAGGCAAUAUUGCUGCAUGUUGAAUCAACAAUAAAUAUUUCCUGUGAAUUGGAUUUUAUUUCCAGAGUUGCUGACCAGACUUCUAUGUGUGAUUGUAUCAGAUGACCAUCUGGGAGACAUCUGUUUAACUGUAAUGUUUUCCCGAUGCGGAACAUGUCCUGCAAUCCGAAGUAAAAACCUGAGGUAACCUUCCACUUCUGUACAAGUGUUCUUUAAUGAAUAGCAAACAAUAAAUAAUAAAA
ensembl:lncRNA